rnacentral:tRNA from 1 species
GACCUUAUAGUUUAAUUUAAAAUAACAAGUUGCAAGCUUGUAGUUAUAUUUGUGUUAUUAAGGUUU